GAUAAAUAGCUCAGCUGGUUAUAGCGUGGUGCUGAUAACCCCAGGGUUGCAGGUUCAAUCCCUGUAUGAGACA